rnacentral:rRNA from 1 species
GCGUUAAUCGGAAUUACUGGGCGUAAAGCGCACGCAGGCGGUUUGUUAAGUCAGAUGUGAAAUCCCCGGGCUCAACCUGGGAACUGCAUCUGAUACUGGCAAGCUUGAGUCUCGUAGAGGGGGGUAGAAUUCCAGGUGUAGCGGUGAAAUGCGUAGAGAUCUGGAGGAAUACCGGUGGCGAAGGCGGCCCCCUGGACGAAGACUGACGCUCAGGUGCGAAAGCGUG